CGCGUAGGCGGCCGAUUAAGUCGGGGGUGAAAGCCUGUGGCUCAACCACAGAAUUGCCUUCGAUACUGGUUGGCUUGAGACCGGAAGAGGACAGCGGAACUGCGAGUGUAGAGGUGAAAUUCGUAGAUAUUCGAAAGAACACCAGUGGCGAAGGCGGCUGUCUGGUCCGGUUCUGACGCUGAGGCGCGAAAGCGUGGGGAGCAAACA
rnacentral:rRNA from 1 species